CGCAGUAUCCGGCAAGACGGAAUUGAGUUUAAAUGAGCGACAGUUUUUGUGAGUUUGUUUGUUUAAAACCCGGAUGUUGUAGUCCCACGGCCUGUUGUCCUUCACACGUGGGUUUCGGGGGUCUCUGUGGACGUUCAAGAAUCCCUGCUGUGUCAGUGGCCGUAGAGGAUUGUGAUUUGUACCUGUUGAGAUCCUCCCUCUGUGUGGGGCUGUGUUACAGGGAGCUCGCUGUGGUUUUCUAAGUAUUGAACAGCCUAUUUACAACACUCGGGUCACUUCCCAAGACUGAUCUACCUGAGAAGGAAGACCAGAGGAGAAGGAAAGCAAAGAGUCAGAAAUGACUCGUUCCCAGGGACAGCUGAUAUUCCAGGAUGUGACCAUAGAUUUUACUGAAGAGGAGUGACUGGACCUCUGUCAAGGGGCAUUGUAUAGGGAUGUGAUGUUAGAGAAGUAUAGGAACUUGGCCACUUUGGCACAUGACCAGAAUCUCAGAAUUUGAUUUUUAUGUAGUGAGUGUUGUAUGCUGCUGCUGCUGCUAAGUCACUUCAGUCGUGACUGACUUUGUGCAACACUAUAGAUAGCAGCCCACCAGGCUCCCCCGUCUGUAGGAUUCUCCAGGAAAGAACACUGGAGUGGGUUGCCAUUUCCAUCUCCCUAGUGUUGUGAGGAAAUCAUUUUCUAGGCUGUCUUAACAUUCUAUCAUGCAUGCUCUCCUGACCUAGAUACAUACUAGAUUGGAAAGUGAUGAAUCUCUGGCAAAACCAAUAUUCCUUACUGAUAAACAGGUCUUGUGGUUUCUCAGCCAAACCUUGUCGCUUUUCUGGAGCAAAUGAAGGAGCCCAGGAGUAUAAGGAGAACGAAGACAGUGGCCGUAUACCCAGGGAUUGGAAUGAAAACUGACCUUUUCCAGUCCUGUGGCCACUGCUGAGCUUUCCAAAUUUGCUGGCAUAUUGAGUGCAGCACUUUCACAGCGUCAUCUUUCAGAAGAUGUAUUCCCAAAAGCAAACCUAGGAAUAUAUCAAAUAUUUCACCUCAGAAAUUUAAAUUUAAUGAAAAACUGGGAAUAUACGAGGGUAUGUGAAGACAGAGAGGAUGCUUAUACGGACAUAAAGAAAUGGAGACAGUUACACAUAAUGCUAAAAUUACUGCAAAAAAUCAGCAACAUGAGUCAAAUGGGAAAAACACCAACUUCAGUCUUCAACAUCUGCAGAGAAGUGUAAGUGUUUAAGAAUAAAGGUUUCCAUAUUCUCUAAAAGGAAACAUGGAAAAUCUGGAAGGUAAUCUAGUCUCUAAUGCAAAUAUUCAUUCUGAAUGUAAGCUUCAACUAACCAUACAUUCAAGCAUAUCUGAACACCUAAAAUUUAACAAUUUAAAAUUGUGAGUGGGAAAACUCACAAUCUAAUCAGUUUGAGGGAUCCGUGAGCAGGGGGUCAUUUUUCUUCCCACAACAAAUAUUUUCUCUCCAUUCAAAGAUGUAUAAUGUUGAUGAUAAUGGAAGAGAUGCAAUCCAACCAUCAUUGUUCAAAACAUAUUGUGAUAUGGUCAAUACACAACAACUUUCCAUGUGCAAUAAAAUGAGUCAGACCUUAAGUAAGAGCUCCAGCUCCAAUAAUUACAAGAGUAUUUCUGUGGACUGAGAAGGUAUUCAGGCAAUGAAACUGGGUAUACGGUUGAAGGAGACUCCAACCUUAAGAAACAUCAGGGACCCGAAUCUUCAAACAAGGAUUCUAAAAGUAAUAAAUAUGGAAAUACCUUUGAUCAGAUGUCAGGUUUUUCUCUCGAUAAGAGUACUUGUACUGAAGAGAGGACUUGUACUGAAUAUGGUAAGGUUUCUAAUCAAUCUUCAGAACUUUUUCAACAGCACAUUGUUCAGAAUCCACAGAAAGAAAACAAGUGUAAGGUAUGUGGGAAAGUGUUUAGUAAAUCAUGCCAUCUAAGUAGACAUAAGAAAAUUCAUACAGGAAGGAAACCUUUCCAAUGUACAGAAUGUAGCAAGUGUAACCAUUGCUGACUUCUUACUAAACAUCAGAAUUCACACUGGAGAGAAACCUUAUGAAUGUACAGAAUGUGGCAAAGCCUUUACUUACAGCUCACAUCUUAUUCAACAUCUGCAAAUUCAUACUGGAGAGAAACAUAUAUGUACAGAAUGUAGCAAAGCCUUUAUCUGUUACAGCUAACCUAUCAUCAGCGAAUUUAUACUGGAGAGAGACCUUAUAAAUGUAAAGAAUGUAACAAAGCCUUUCAUCUUCGCUCAGUUCUUACUGGACAUCAGCGUAUUCCUUCUGGGCAGAGACCCUGUAAGUGUAAAGAAUGUAACAAAGCCUUUAUUCAGUGCUCACAUCUUACUCAACAUCAGCGAAUUCAUUCUGGGGAGAAGCCUUAUAAAUGUGAAGAAUUUGGAGAGACCUUCAUUAAGGGUUCUAGUCUUACUAAACAUCAGCGAAUCCAUAAUGGGGAGAGACCAUAUAAAUAUACAGAAUGUGGCAAAACCUUUAGUCAUAGUGGUUGGCUCACUAAACAUCUGAGAAAACACAUUGGAGAGAAACCAUAGUAACGGAACAAGCGAUGGAAGAGGUUUGCCCUGAACAUGCAUCAGAAAACACAAGGGUUUAUGCAAGAAACCUGUGGAAAUGAUGUAACAAAUAUGUAGAAAGGUAUUUAAUCAACAG